rnacentral:rRNA from 1 species
UACGUAGGUGGCAAGCGUUGUCCGGAAUUAUUGGGCGUAAAGGGAGCGUAGGUGGUUUGUUAAGUCUGAUGUGAAAGCCCGCGGCUCAACCGCGGAGGGUCAUUGGAAACUGACAAACUUGAAUACAGCAGAGGUAAGUGGAAUUUCAUGUGUAGCGGUGGAAUGCGUAGAGAUAUGAAGGAACACCAGUGGCGAAGGCGACUUACUGGGCUGAUAUUGACACUGAUGCUCGACAGCGUGGGGAGCAAAUAGG